GUUGCUGUUUUGUUUCUUUAAUGUUGGCUGUAUUUUGGAUUGCUUCGAUCCAAGUUAGCUUGAUAGAAUAUGUUACGCCAUAGAAUACUCAGUAAGAAUAAUGUGUUGGUUUGUAUUGUAAUGUUACUUUUGUCCAGUACAGUAAGCUAAUGGACAUUUUAUUUCAGUGGAGAUUUUUUUGUUGUUGUUGAGAUUUUUUGAGUUAAGUUUUUUCAUGCCCAAAGACUGUCCAUUUUGACUUGUCAGCAUGUUUGCGUGUCAGUUAUGUCGGCAGCAAUGCAGUACUCCAGUGGCCUAUGUGAAGCACAUGAGGAUUCACAGCAAUACCCCUAACUUGUUUCUUCAUUGCUGCAUCCAGGACUGUAACAGGAAGUUCGCAAAAUUAGCAGCUUUGAAAUCACAUCUUUACAGACACCACAGUGAGUGUGUGGUGGUGCCUAGAUCACAUUUGUACCCUGCAGUAGACCUUGCAUGCCAUGUUGACUUGUGUAGUGCCAAAUGUGAUACACUAACUCAGUUUUAUUCCCAUCUUAAAGUGCACAUUAAAGAGGGACAAAGAGUGACAUGCCCCUUUCAGCAGUGUGAUAAAUCAUUUUCAGUGAUAUCCACCUUUACCUCUCACGUAUCAAGGAAGCAUAAAAACUCAACAGAGGUAAACCUAAGUGAAUCCAUUGUUGCCACAUCACUUGUGACUGAAGCUGAAAGUUUUCAAAAUAUUGACAGUGAUAUGAUGACAGAAGAACAUACUGGUGUAGUUGGAAAUAGUGAGAAUUUGGAGGUUAGUCCAGAAAAUAUCGAUGAGACAUUAUUUUUGAAGAAUCUUGCUCUCUUUUAUCUGAAAUUACAGGCCAAGUUAUUGCUUCCAUCUUCAGUCAUUCAGACGAUCAUUGAAGACAUGCAGUCAGUUUAUGAUGUCAACCAGUCACAUCUACUUUUCAAACUAAAUGAGAAAUUGGUUGCACUUGGGGUUCCAGAGGCUUCCAUUAAUGAUGUCAUGGACAGUCUGAAAGCAGACGAUCUCUUACGAGCAUGUAAUAGCCACACACUAAAAACAGACCAGCGCAGGAAAACAGUGUUCAAGAACAGUUUUAAUUAUGUUGAUUCUAUGCCCAUUUGUCUAGGACAUAACGAAGCUGGCAAAGAGUGUUUUUUACAGUAUGUCCCUGUAAAACAGACGAUUGAGGCCCUUUUUCAUUGUGAGUCUGUGUGGAAGCAGUACAGAGAAGUACACAGCCGUAUCCAGUUGAAGGAUAUUUUUGAAGAUGUGUGGGAUGGUGAAAACACCACAAAAAACUUGGCCCAGACAGAGAGGUCAUCUUUAGGCUUGAUACUUUAUCAAGAUUCAUUUGAAGUUGUUAAUCCCCUGGGGUCAGGAAAGAAAAAACACAAAAUACUAGCUAUGUAUCUCACACUUGCAGACCUAUUGCCACACAACCGGUCAAGUAUUGACCAGAUGCAACUGGUUUUUCUGUGUAGAGAACAAGAUUUCAAGUAUUUUGGUCAGGAAUUGGUCAUGGGAUGCUUGAUGAAAGACCUUCAAGACCUUGAGACUAAUGGCAUAGUGCUACCUGAUGGACAGGUAUGCAGAGGAAUCUUGCGAGCCAUUUGUGGAGACAACCUGGGUUCACACAACAUCGGAGGUUUUCUUGAAAAUUUCAGUGGCAGUAGGUACUUCUGCCGAUAUUGUGAAAUUGACAAAGAUGUGUUUCACGCAGAUCCUUUGUCCAAAGCUAACACUCGGACACCAGAGUCAUACAAAGAGCAUGUUCAGAACCUCGAGGAACAUUCUGUUCAUAGUAGAGGUAUUAAAUUUGACUCCUUAUUCAACAGCCUGUCUAUGUUUCAUGUAUGUCAACCUGGGUUGCCUCCGUGUCUUGGGCAUGAUUUGUUUGAAGGCGUUGUUGCCUCUGAUCUUGCAUUGUGUAUCAACCAUCUUGUCACAGUUGACAAACAGUUCACUUACACUGAAUUAAAUCGGAUGAUUGAUCAAUUCCGAUAUUUAGGUAAUGAUGCAAAUGACAAACCUUGUGAGGUGAAGCCAGGAAGUGAUAGACUGAGUGGCCAUGCUAUGCAGAACUGGUGCUUCCUGAGACUGCUACCAGUGUUGAUCAAAGAGAAGAUUACAUCUCCUGCUGACAAUGAGAUAUGGCAACUGGUGUUACAACUAAGAGAAAUUGUGGCAUUGAUUUGUGCACCAGCAAUUUCUGCUGACCAGAUAGGCUAUUUAAGGGUCCUUAUUGAAGAAUACUUGCAUUCCAGAAAACAAGCCUUUCCCCAUCAUCGGCUUAAACCUAAGCAUCAUUACAUGAGUCAUUAUCCAGAGCUCAUCAUUCAGUUCGGUCCACUUAUUCGUUUGUGGACUAUGAGGUUCGAAAGCAAGCACACAUACUUUAAACANNNNNNNNNNNNNNNNNNNNNNNNNNN
rnacentral:lncRNA from 1 species